CCAGCCCCUCCCUAUUCAGAACUUUGGAGGUUAAGAGGAAAGGUUCAAGCACUGAACAAUGAUGUUUUUGUGUGGUGCUUUAGGCCAGGUCCUGUAUCAUCUUUGCUUCUCUUCCUGAAAGGUAGCCCUCUUCAUCUGCAAGUGAUAAAUGACCCACAAAGUGCCUUACAGAAACUGAUGGGGAGCACCAAGGCAGGGACCCAUGUUUGGUCCAAUCAGAAUCUCAAUGACCAGGUCCUUGCAGCAUCUGAGAUGUUGAGUCCCAUAUGUCAUAUGGACCUGUGAGUCUCCGAACAAACAAGACUUGGCAGCAGGCCCCAAAGGGAAAAAAUCAUCAUGAGAAACUCUGCUAAGAAGUAAACAAUUAAUACAAUAAAAAGAUGACCCACAGAAUGAAGCAGUGUGCAAAUCAUAUGU
rnacentral:lncRNA from 1 species